rnacentral:lncRNA from 1 species
CAGCCCCAUAGAUCCAACCCUGCCCCAUAGAUGCAUCCCUGCCCCACAGAUCCAUCCCAGCCCCAUAGAUAUGCAUCCCUGCCCCACAGAUCGAUCCCAGCCCCAUAGAUAUGGCUCUACCCCAUAGAUCCAUCCCAGCCCCAUAGAUCAAUCCCAGCCCCAUAGAUGCAUUUCAGCCCCAUAGAUGCAGCCCUGCCCCAUAGAUGUGUUCCUGCCCCAUAGAUCUAUCCCUGCCCCAUAGAUGCAGCCCUGCCCCAUAGAUCCAACCCAGCCCUAUAGAUGUGCUCCUGCCCCAUAGAUCCACCCCAGCCCCAUAGAUCCAUCCCAGCCCCAUAGAUGCAUCCCUGCCCCAUAGAUCCAUCCCAGCCCUAUAGAUUUCCCCCUCCCCACAGAUCCAUCCCUGCCCCACAGAUCCAUCCCAGCCCCAUAGAAGCAUCCCUGCCCCAUAGAUCAAUCCCAGCCCCAUAGAUGUGUUCCUGCCCCACAGAUCGAUCCCAGCCCCAUAGAUGCAUUUCAGCCCCAUAGAUGCAGCCCUGCCCCAUACAUGUGUUCCUGCUCCAUAGAUCCAUCCCAGCCCCAUAGAUGUGUUCCUGCCCUAUAGAUCCAUCCCAGCCCUAUAGAUGUAUCCCAGCCCCACAGAUCCAACCCUGCCCCAUAGAUGCAUUCCUGCCCCACAGAUCAAUCCCUGCCCCACAGAUUUCUGCCAGCCCCACAGAUUUCUCCCUGCCCCAUACAUCCAUCCCAGCCCCACAGAUCCAUCCCAGCCCCAUAGAUAUGGCUCUGCCCCAUAGAUCCAUCCCAGCCCCAUAGAUUUCUCCCUGCCCCAUAGAUCCAUCCCAGCCCCACAACCGCCCCCCUCAUCGAUGACUCCGCCCCACAUCUGUGCCCCCAGUCCCUCCCCCACCCCCCUCCCCCGUCCCGUCGGUGCCACCCACGUGACCGCGCCGUGACCCCGUGACCNNNNNNGCUAUGGGGCAACCGGAGGAGCGGCGCUGGGAUUGGGGGGCGCUGAGGACCCCAGCGGGGCGCCUGAUCGCGGCCGAGACGGCCGCGUGGUUCGCGCUGCUCCCCCUGCUGGCCGUUUCGGUUCCCCACGCGCUGCUCCCGGCUCUGCUGGCCGCACUUUGGGCUGCGGCCACGUUGGGGGCGGCGGUGCUGAGAGCCGCACCGAGGAUCCCGCACGGAGACUGCGUGGUACGGAGCCGCACCUCCCAGUCCUCCCAGUCCUCCCAGUUCUCCCAGUCCUCCAGUCCUCCAAUUGCUCCAGUCCUCCAGUCCUCCAAUCCUCCAGUCCUCCAGUCCUCCAGUCCUCCAAUCCCCCAGUCCUCCCAGUUCUCCCAGUUGUCCAGUCCUCCACUCCUCCCAGUUCUCCCAGUUCUCCCAGUCCUCCAGUCCUCCAGUCCUCCAGUCCUCCAGUCCUUCCAGUCCUCCAGUCCUCCAAGACAUCCAGUCCUCCCAGUCCUCCACUCCUCCAGUCCUCCAGUCCUCCAAUCCUCCACUCCUCCACUCCUCCAGUCCUCCAGUCCUCCCAGUCCUCCAGUCCUCCAGUCCUCCAGCCCUCCAGUUCUCCCAGUUCUCCAGUCCUCCAGUCCUCCCAGUCCUCCAGUCCUCCAGUCCACCAAUCCUCCAGCCCUCCAGUUCUCCCAGUUCUCCAGUCCUCCAGUCCUCCCAGUCCUCCAGUCCUCCAGUCCUCCAAGACAUCCAGUCCUCCCAGUCCUCCAAUCCUCCAGUCCUCCCAGUCCUCCAGUCCUCCAGUCCUCCCAGUUCUCCAAUCCUCCACUCCUCCAGUCCUCCAGACAUCCAGUCCUCCAGUCCUCCAAU